rnacentral:rRNA from 1 species
UAGGGAAUCUUCCACAAUGGACGCAAGGUCUGAUGGAGCAACGCCGCGUGAGUGAAGAAGGUUUUCGGACCGUAAAGCUCUGUUGUUGGUGAAGAAGGAUAGAGGUAGUAACUGGCCUUUAUUUGACGGUAAUCAACCAGAAAGUCACGGCUAACUACGUGCCAGCAGCCGCGGUAAUCGUAGGUGGCAAGCGUUGUCCGGAUUUAUUGGGCGUAAAGCGAGCGCAGGCGGAAGAAUAAGUCUGAUGUGAAAGCCCUCGGCUUAACCGAGGAAUUGCAUCGGAAACUGUUUUCUUGAGUGCAGAAGAGGAGAGUAGAACUCCAUGUGUAGCGGUGGAAUGCGUAGAUAUAUGGAAGAAUACCAGUGGCGAAGGCGGCUCUCUGGUCUGCAACUGACGCUGAGGCUCGAAAGCAUGGGUAGCGAACAGGAUUAGAUACCCUGGUAGUCCAUGCCGUAAACGAUGAGUGCUAAGUGUUGGGAGGCUUCCGCCUCUCAGUGCUGCAGCUAACGCAUUAAGCACUCCGCCUGGGGGAGUACGACCGCAAGGUUGAA